UACGUAGGGGGCAAGCGUUGUCCGGAAUCAUUGGGCGUAAAGCGCGCGUAGGCGGCCCUGUAAGUCCGUUGUGAAAGUCAAAGGCUCAACCUUUGAAAGCCGAUGGAUACUGCAGGGCUAGAGUCCGGAAGAGGCGAGUGGAAUUCCUGGUGUAGCGGUGGAAUGCGCAGAUAUCAGGAGGAACACCGAUGGCGAAGGCAGCUCGCUGGGACGGUACUGACGCUGAGACGCGAAAGCGUGGGGAGCGAACAGG
rnacentral:rRNA from 1 species